rnacentral:rRNA from 1 species
UACGUAGGGCGCAAGCGUUGUCCGGAAUUAUUGGGCGUAAAGAGCUCGUAGGCGGCCAGUUGCGUCCGCUGUGAAAUCCCGGGGCUUAACCCCGGGCGUGCAGUGGAUACGGGCUGGCUAGAGGCAGGCAGGGGAGAACGGAAUUCCCGGUGUAGCGGUGAAAUGCGCAGAUAUCGGGAGGAACACCGGUGGCGAAGGCGGGUCUCUGGGCAACAACUGACGCUGAGGAGCGAAAGCGUGGGGAGCGAACAGG